rfam:Triticum aestivum genome assembly, contig: Triticum_aestivum_CS42_TGACv1_scaffold_374310_5AL
CAUAUACUCCCUCUAUUUCGAAUUACUUGUCUUAGAUUUGUCUAGAUACGGAGGUAUCUAGCACUAAAAUGAGUCUAGAUACAUUCGUAUGUAGACAAAUCCAAGACAAGUAAUUUGGAACGGAGGGAGUAUAUA